UUGUGGCAGAAGUGGAAAACAAGCACUUCAAGCGCUCCCACUACAGGGAAGCGAACGCUCGGUAGGAAGGGAUUCACAGCUCAGGGUCGAACCAAUUGAUAUAAAAAUACUGACAGUAGCACAGUAUCACACAUGCUUUUAGCCAGACCCGCACUCAGCAAGAGUCUUACGGACCUCCAAUCGCUUGUUUGAACAACUUCCUGAACGUUUUCUAAUGAAUGAUCAAAUUGUACGCCAACCCAACAAAGACCUAGUACAAUAAAUCAUGGCUUAUCGAGAAUUUAUUGCACCAUUUACUGGCAUAACAACUGCUCAUGCUGCUGGGCCGGCUAAUGUCGGCAGAAAUGUCGUACGGCUAGAUUGGUAUCGAUUGCGGAGUGACGAUGCACAUAUUGCAGCGAGCACUUACGGGUUCGUGCGCUUCAUGUCAACAGGCAAUAUUGUAGCAGCCCCACACGAUGAAGCGUUGAAUAAUGUGAAAAUGUGUAAAAUAUUGACGGCCGGCUGUGUAAAUAGAACUCAAUUUUAAAUCAAGGCAGGUUUUGUGAUAAUCAUCAGUGAAAUAAAGCUUCGUUAAAAACUUGAGAUUGUAU